GCCCCCCCAAAGCCCAACCACCCCAAACUAAACCCACCCAACUAAACUAACCAAAACCUUUGACAAAGAUAGUAGCUGUGAGCAAACCCAACCUAUAGACGCAAUAGAGGAAGUACUGUAAAGGAAAAAUGAAAGAUCGUUACCCAGCAAGCAAAAAAAAGCAGCGAUAAAACCCCGUACCUCCUGCAUCACCGUUUAGCAAGAAAACACGAACAAGAAGACCUCCAAGUCCGCCCACCCGAAUGCAAGUGAGCUAUCUUUCGGCAGCUAGACGAGCGAACCAAUUUCUGUAGCAAAAGAACUGGAAGACCAAAAGAUAGAGGCGAAAAACCAAUCGAACUUGCCGAUAGCUGGUUGCCUGGUAAACGAAUCUAAGUUCAACCUUGAGGCCACACUAUUCCACAAAAUAACCCCUUGCCCCAAGAUUUAAUCAAUGAAGGCACAGCUCCAUUGAUAGAGGAUACAACCUGAAGCAGAGAGAAAGCUAUACACUCUUAACCCGUGGGCCUCAAAACAGCCACCAAAAAAUAUAACGUUAAAGUAACGAUUAAAAAAUGUCAACAGCCUAUUCAACCUCCCGCCACCCCACCAGGCCACUCUAUAAACAUAGAAGAAAUGAUGCUAAAACUAGUAACAAGAAAAAUUCUCCACGAACAAAAUUCUAUUAUUACCAGACCUAAACCGGCAGUAUGAGACGUAUUUCACACACCAUUUUUCCCACUGUAAAACCAACCCAGGAUUGUUCACGGAAGACUUACAGCUAGAAAAGGAACUCGGCAAACAAUUUUUCCAACUGUUUACCAAAAACAUAGCCUUUAGCCCACCCAAGUAUUAAAGGUAACGCCUGCCCAGUGAGACACAACCUUAAACGGCCGCGCUUAAUACCGUGCAAAGGUAGCAAAAUCAUUUGUCCUCUAAAUAGGGACCAGCAUGAAUGGCAACAUGAGAAAAACCCUGUCUCUUCAAGCUAGUCAGUGAAACUGAUCUGCCUGUUAAAAAGCAGGCAUACAAAAAUAAGACAAAAAGACCCUGUGAAACUUCAAAUGUCUUCCAACCAGAUGGUAAGACAUUUUUCGGUUGGGGCAACCUAUGAGAACUAAACCUCAUAAAAUCAUGAGGCACACAAGCCAAACGAGCACCAAUGAUCCAGUACCACUGAUCAAAGAACAAAGCUACUCCAGGGAUAACAGCGCCACAUUCUUAAAGAGUCCAUAUCAACAAGAAUACCUACGACCUCGAUGUUGGAUCAGGGCACCCAAAUGGCGCAGAAGCUAUUAAAGGUUCGUUUGUUCAACGAUUAAAGUCCUACGUGAUCUGAGUUCAGACCGGAGUAAUCCAGGUCGGUCUAUAUCUAUUAGAUGCUUCGACCAGUACGAAAGGACCGAAGAAGCAGGGGCUAUUUCAACAACACCCCCUUCAACCAAGCGCUGCACAUAAAUCAAGCACAACCCUACACCCGCCCCAAGACAAGGGAAAACGCCCGCACACACUGCGGGCGUUUAUU
rnacentral:rRNA from 1 species